rnacentral:rRNA from 1 species
CCUACGGGCGGCAGCAGUGAGGAAUAUUGGUCAAUGGACGAGAGUCUGAACCAGCCAAGUAGCGUGAAGGAUGACUGCCCUAUGGGUUGUAAACUUCUUUUAUAUGGGAAUAAAAUGUUCCACGUGUGGGAUUUUGUAUGUACCAUAUGAAUAAGGAUCGGCUAACUCCGUGCCAGCAGCCGCGGUAAUACGGAGGAUCCGAGCGUUAUCCGGAUUUAUUGGGUUUAAAGGGAGCGUAGGUGGAUUGUUAAGUCAGUUGUGAAAGUUUGCGGCUCAACCGUAAAAUUGCAGUUGAAACUGGCAGUCUUGAGUACAGUAGAGGUGGGCGGAAUUCGUGGUGUAGCGGUGAAAUGCUGAGAUAUCACGAAGAACUCCGAUUGCGAAGGCAGUUCACUGGACUGCAACUGACACUGAGGCUCGAAAGUGUGGGUAUCAAACAGGAUUAGAUACCCGAGUAGCC